AACGUAGGAGACAAACGUUAUCCGGAGUUACUGGGCGUAAAGGGCGUGUAGGUGGUUUUAUAAGUCUGGCGUGAAAUUUCUCGGCUUAACCGAGGCAGGUCGUCGGAUACUAUGAGACUAGAGGACGGUAGAGGCGUGUGGAAUUCCGGGUGUAGUGGUGAAAUGCGUAGAGAUCCGGAGGAACACCAGAGGCGAAGGCGGCCUACUGGGCUAGUACUGACGCUGAGCCGCGAAGCCAGGGGAGCGAAACGGG
rnacentral:rRNA from 1 species